rnacentral:ncRNA from 1 species
GUAAAUGCAUUGACCGAGAAGAGUAAUUACACACUAGAUGGAUGAGGGAAUAGUAGCCGUAGACUGGGAGCUACUUGCAUCAUAGCGUAAUGAAGUUCACCUCGUGAGCAGCGCUGCAGAAAAGUAGUGCCGGUGACAAGCCGUUAUUUGAACUGAGUGAUUGUUGAGUAAAUUGGCAAUAACGAGGGUGGUACCGCGAUUAUAUCUCGUCCCUUUU